UUAUACUGCUGCUGUAUCCUGUUUAGCACAGAUUACCGCGAAAUUCACCUCAGUCAUCAAUGGAGGAAAUAAAUAUGAGAUUGGAUAGUAAAACCUUACUAAAUUUUCAAAUAAUAAGGAGAAAAAGAAAUCAUCUAACUAAAGUUCAUUAAAAUGAUCGAGUGAAUAACUUCUCCGUGCUAGUGUCGUAAAACCCAUUUUUUUGCGUUUGGAAAUGUUAAAAAAAUCUGAGCAUUAGCUAUUUACGCAACAAUCAAUCAAGCAAUCGCUACUUCACGGAUGUAAAACACAGAAUUCAAGCAUGAUAUGAAAAUCAGUAGUGAAGGUACUUCAUUUCUUUGCCGCAAAUUUCGAGGAGCGCCACAAUACUAAACUUUUUCUUCGCGAAAAAUGUCGAAAAUAGUAUUUACGUCAACAAUGAGAACAGAAGUAAUUCUCGAUCAAUUUUGAUGAACAAGAUUUCAUUUUAAAGACGAAGGUUUAGUCUACGGUGCUGUCCCGACUGAGUUUUGAAAAAGCUUUUUAUUUAUGCAUUAACAAUUCUCGAAAGAAUACCAUUUUUUAGUACGAUUUUUUUCAAAGAAAAUAAAGCUUUUUCAAAACUUCGCUAAAACACCGUCAUAGAUUAAACCUUUGUUUUUAAAACAAGAUCUUGUUUAUUAAAAUCGAUCGAGAAUUACACCUGUUCUCAUUGAUACGUAAACCAUUAAAAAACCAGGGGUAGCGAACAGCCUUAAUAACAAAGAAUUAGAAUCAUCUUUGAUUCUAAAAUAUGGAAAGAAAGUAAAAACUCUAAUGCAACUCUAAAAAGAAAAAACCUGUUCUUUUCAUGGAAAGUAAUUAUUGUCUUUCAGUCAAGAGAUACUUCUUCAGUGAAAAAUUGAUUUUUGACUAUCGAAUAAAGUAUCCAAUUUAUUUGUAUUAUCACGCCAUUGUAAUAUUCCAAAUUAUGAUAAUACAACAUUUUGAACAACA